rnacentral:rRNA from 1 species
AAAUUGAAGAGUUUGAUCAUGGCUCAGAUUGAACGCUGGCGGCAGGCCUAACACAUGCAAGUCGAACGGUAACAGGAAGCAGCUUGCUGCUUUGCUGACGAGUGGCGGACGGGUGAGUAAUGUCUGGGAAACUGCCUGAUGGAGGGGGAUAACUACUGGAAACGGUGGCUAAUACCGCAUAACGUCGCAAGACCAAAGAGGGGGACCUUCGGGCCUCUUGCCAUCAGAUGUGCCCAGAUGGGAUUAGCUUGUUGGUGAGGUAACGGCUCACCAAGGCGACGAUCCCUAGCUGGUCUGAGAGGAUGACCAGCCACACUGGAACUGAGACACGGUCCAGACUCCUACGGGAGGCAGCAGCAUGGGGAAUAUUGCACAAUGGGCGCAAGCCUGAUGCAGCCAUGCCGCGUGUAUGAAGAAGGCCUUCGGGUUGUAAAGUACUUUCAGCGGGGAGGAAGGUGUUGUGGUUAAUAACCACAGCAAUUGACGUUACCCGCAGAAGAAGCACCGGCUAACUCCGUGCCAGCAGCCGCGGUAAUACGGAGGGUGCAAGCGUUAAUCGGAAUUACUGGGCGUAAAGCGCACGCAGGCGGUCUGUCAAGUCGGAUGUGAAAUCCCCGGGCUCAACCUGGGAACUGCAUUCGAAACUGGCAGGCUUGAGUCUUGUAGAGGGGGGUAGAAUUCCAGGUGUAGCGGUGAAAUGCGUAGAGAUCUGGAGGAAUACCGGUGGCGAAGGCGGCCCCCUGGACAAAGACUGACGCUCAGGUGCGAAAGCGUGGGGAGCAAACAGGAUUAGAUACCCUGGUAGUCCACGCCGUAAACGAUGUCUACUUGGAGGUUGUGCCCUUGAGGCGUGGCUUCCGGAGCUAACGCGUUAAGUAGACCGCCUGGGGAGUACGGCCGCAAGGUUAAAACUCAAAUGAAUUGACGGGGGCCCGCACAAGCGGUGGAGCAUGUGGUUUAAUUCGAUGCAACGCGAAGAACCUUACCUGGUCUUGACAUCCACAGAACUUUCCAGAGAUGGAUUGGUGCCUUCGGGAACUGUGAGACAGGUGCUGCAUGGCUGUCGUCAGCUCGUGUUGUGAAAUGUUGGGUUAAGUCCCGCAACGAGCGCAACCCUUAUCCUUUGUUGCCAGCGAUUAGGUCGGGAACUCAAAGGAGACUGCCAGUGAUAAACUGGAGGAAGGUGGGGAUGACGUCAAGUCAUCAUGGCCCUUACGACCAGGGCUACACACGUGCUACAAUGGCGCAUACAAAGAGAAGCGACCUCGCGAGAGCAAGCGGACCUCAUAAAGUGCGUCGUAGUCCGGAUUGGAGUCUGCAACUCGACUCCAUGAAGUCGGAAUCGCUAGUAAUCGUGGAUCAGAAUGCCACGGUGAAUACGUUCCCGGGCCUUGUACACACCGCCCGUCACACCAUGGGAGUGGGUUGCAAAAGAAGUAGGUAGCUUAACCUUCGGGAGGGCGCUUACCACUUUGUGAUUCAUGACUGGGGUGAAGUCGUAACAAGGUAACCGUAGGGGAACCUGCGGUUGGAUCACCUCCUUACCUGAAAGAAGC